rnacentral:rRNA from 1 species
CUUCGGCCCGAGUUGUAAUUUGCAGAGGAUGUUUUUGGCGCGGUGCCUUCCGAGUUCCCUGGAACGGGACGCCACAGAGGGUGAGAGCCCCGUAUGGUUGGACACCAAGCCUGUGUAAAACUCCUUCGACGAGUCGAGUAGUUUGGGAAUGCUGCUCUAAAUGGGAGGUAAAUCUCUUCUAAAGCUAAAUACCGGCCAGAGACCGAUAGCGCACAAGUAGAGUGAUCGAAAGAUGAAAAGCACCUUGAAAAGGGGGUUAAACAGUACGUGAAAUUGUUGAAAGGGAAGCGCUCAUGACCAGACUUGUGCCGUGCGGCUCAUCCGGGGUUCUCCCCGGUGCACUCCGCACGGCUCAGGCCAGCAUCGGUUCUCGUUGGGGGAUAAGAACAGUAGGAACGUGGCCCCCCUCGGGGGGUGUUAUAGCCUAUUGUACGAUACCCUGGCGGGGACCGAGGACCGCGCUUCGGCAAGGAUGCUGGCGUAAUGGUCAUCAGCGACCCGUCUUGAAACACGGACCAAGGAGUCGUCCAUUAGAGCGAGCGUUUGGGUGUAAAACCCGCACGCGUAAUGAAAGUGAAAUUAGGUGAGAGCUUCGGCGCAUCAUCGACCGAUCCUGAUGUUCUCGGAUGGAUUUGAGUAAGAGUUUUAACGGACGGACCCGAAAGACAGUGAACUAUGCUUGUAUAGGGUGAAGCCAGAGGAAACUCUGGUGGAGGCUCGCAGCGGUUCUGACGUGCAAAUCGAUCGUCAAAUAUGAGCAUGGGGGCGAAAGACUAAUCGAACUGUCUAGUAGCUGGUUACCGCCGAAGUUUCCCUCAGGAUAGCAGUGUUGACCUUCAGUUUUAUGAGGUAAAGCGAAUGAUUAGGGACUCGGGGGCGCUUAUUAGCCUUCAUCCAUUCUCAAACUUUAAAUAUGUAAGAAGCCCUUGUUACUUAAUUGAACGUGGGCAUUCGAAUGUACCAACACUAGUGGGCCAUUUUUGGUAAGCAGAACUGGCGAUGCGGGAUGAACCGAACGCGGGGUUAAGGCGCCAGAGUGUACGCUCAUCAGACACCACAAAAGGCGUUAGUACAUCUUGACAGCAGGACGGUGGCCAUGGAAGUCGGAAUCCGCUAAGGACUGUGUAACAACUCACCUGCCGAAUGUACU